UUACGCUGUUAUCCCUAAGGUAAUUUAGUCUUAUAAUCAACAAAAAUGGAUCAAAUAUAUAUAAAUAAAUAUAAAAAAAAAUAAAAAGAGUUAAUUAAAUCUUUCCAUCACCCCAACAAAAUAAAUUUUCAAAUUAAAAAAAUAUCAUACAAAAAAAUAAAAAUAUAUAUAAACUCUAUAGGGUCUUCUCGUCCCAAAAAAAUAUUUAGGCAUUUUAACCUAAAAUUUAAAUUCAAUAAAUAAAUUAAAGACAGUUUACACCUCGUCAAACCAUUCAUUCCAGCCUACAAUUAAAAGACUAAUGAUUAUGCUACCUUUGCACGGUCAAAAUACCGCGGCCCUUCAAUACUCAGUGGGCAGGCCAUACAUCAAAAUAUAUUCAAGAAGAGAUGUUUUUGAUAAACAGGCG
rnacentral:rRNA from 2 species